CUCAGGACGAACGCUGGCGGCGUGCUUAACACAUGCAAGUCGAACGGAAAGGCCCUGCUUUUGUGGGGUGCUCGAGUGGCGAACGGGUGAGUAACACGUGAGUAACCUGCCCUUGACUUUGGGAUAACUUCAGGAAACUGGGGCUAAUACCGGAUAGGAGCUCCUGCUGCAUGGUGGGGGUUGGAAAGUUUCGGCGGUUGGGGAUGGACUCGCGGCUUAUCAGCUUGUUGGUGGGGUAGUGGCUUACCAAGGCUUUGACGGGUAGCCGGCCUGAGAGGGUGACCGGCCACAUUGGGACUGAGAUACGGCCCAGACUCCUACGGGAGGCAGCAGUGGGGAAUAUUGCACAAUGGGCGGAAGCCUGAUGCAGCAACGCCGCGUGCGGGAUGACGGCCUUCGGGUUGUAAACCGCUUUCGCCUGUGACGAAGCGUGAGUGACGGUAAUGGGUAAAGAAGCACCGGCUAACUACGUGCCAGCAGCCGCGGUGAUACGUAGGGUGCGAGCGUUGUCCGGAUUUAUUGGGCGUAAAGGGCUCGUAGGUGGUUGAUCGCGUCGGAAGUGUAAUCUUGGGGCUUAACCCUGAGCGUGCUUUCGAUACGGGUUGACUUGAGGAAGGUAGGGGAGAAUGGAAUUCCUGGUGGAGCGGUGGAAUGCGCAGAUAUCAGGAGGAACACCAGUGGCGAAGGCGGUUCUCUGGGCCUUUCCUGACGCUGAGGAGCGAAAGCGUGGGGAGCGAACAGGCUUAGAUACCCUGGUAGUCCACGCUGUAAACGGUGGGUACUAGGUGUGGGGUCCAUUCCACGGGUUCCGUGCCGUAGCUAACGCUUUAAGUACCCCGCCUGGGGAGUACGGCCGCAAGGCUAAAACUCAAAGGAAUUGACGGGGCCCCGCACAAGCGGCGGAGCAUGCGGAUUAAUUCGAUGCAACGCGUAGAACCUUACCUGGGUUUGACAUGGAUCGGGAGUGCUCAGAGAUGGGUGUGCCUCUUUUGGGGUCGGUUCACAGGUGGUGCAUGGCUGUCGUCAGCUCGUGUCGUGAGAUGUUGGGUUAAGUCCCGCAACGAGCGCAACCCUUGUUCACUGUUGCCAGCACGUUAUGGUGGGGACUCAGUGGAGACCGCCGGGGUCAACUCGGAGGAAGGUGGGGAUGACGUCAAGUCAUCAUGCCCCUUAUGUCCAGGGCUUCACGCAUGCUACAAUGGCUGGUACAGAGAGUGGCGAGCCUGUGAGGGUGAGCGAAUCUCGGAAAGCCGGUCUCAGUUCGGAUUGGGGUCUGCAACUCGACCUCAUGAAGUCGGAGUCGCUAGUAAUCGCAGAUCAGCAACGCUGCGGUGAAUACGUUCCCGGGGCUUGUACACACCGCCCGUCAAGUCAUGAAAGUUGGUAACACCCGAAGCCGGUGGCCUAACCGUUGUGGGGGAGCCGUCGAAGGUGGGACUGG
rnacentral:rRNA from 1 species